rnacentral:lncRNA from 1 species
CCUUUGUGCAUUCUCCUUUUAAACCUCUUUUAUAUCAGAUUAUGCAUUUAAAGAAAUAUUGUCAAGAAAAUCAGCUUUUCCUCUAUUUUAAAGAAGUAGAUCAGAAAUACUGUAAAGAUAAGGAGUUGCAACAAGUAUGAAACAAUAAGAGAUAUCCCAUUUUUAAUCCUGUGAAUGAUUUUCUUAAAUUUGGGCCUAACACUCUAAUAACACAGGUCCUCACUUAGGACAGAUUAGUAAUCAAAGUAAAACCUUUCUUAUGAAUGUAAUGAGAUGGAUGCAGAUUAUAUCAGAUGGAAUAUUGCAAGAGAAUUUCAUAAAGAACAUAUAAGAAAUAAAAAUGUAAUGAAAAGAGAGAAACUCCAAGUUUCUUUAAUGAGAAAAUAGAUAGAAAAUUAUAGCUUAACAAGUACAAGGAUGAUAAACCCAGAUUAAUGAUAUUUCUUCCUCAGUCAUUAUAUAUUGAACUCUUAACAAGAUUUCUAGAAGAUAGUGAAUGCCUAGUGAUUGACUAUGAUUCCAUGGACAAAUUGUGCUCAGAGGUCAGUAAAAUUAGUAAACAUUCAAGGUUAUCCAAUUUUCUUAAGGAUAUUAAAAUAUGUACAUUGAGACUCUCUAGUCUUUUUGGUUUUCCAAAAAGGCACAAACAUCAUCUAGAGAUAAAUAACUGAAAAACAUGAUUUGCCAGCUUAUCUUCUAGGAAAAAGUUAAUUCAUGGUGCAGGAAAAGAAUGACAUUACAAAUGGGAGAUCCAAUCAACAGAGGAAAUUCUAGGAGAAACAGGCCCCCUUCCAUAAGGAAGAAAUGGCAGUAUUUGACUUUAAGUUUCUAUAUCCACAUGUUAAAAUAGAACCAGCAUGUCUGGAACAAUAUUGCAUGCUCAUGGAACACUUGCCAAAAGAAAAGGAGGAAUGAAAGAUUAGAGAUAUAUGCCAACUUGUAACACAUCAAUCAUACUUCUUAUACAACCAAUGUUUUUAUAUACUACAAAAAGGAAUGCCAAUAGAUAGUCUGCUAGUAGAUGUUCUAGCAAAAUUGGUAGUUAGAAAAAAAGAGAAAGUGAUAAUAUAAUAGUUAAGUAGUAAAUGCACAUAUGCCAAUGCUGUAUAGAUAACAUCAUUGCAAAGGCCGUGACACACUGAAUGCGACGCGAAGCGAAGCAUUAAAAAGCAACUUUGUGCAGUUACGCGCGUACAGUGUAUCUUGGACUAGCUUUUCCCGUGCAGCUACUCAAGUUAACAUGCGUUGCCGCACA